rnacentral:rRNA from 1 species
GUGGGGAAUAUUGGACAAUGGGCGAAAGCCUGAUCCAGCCAUGCCGCGUGUGUGAAGAAGGUCUUCGGAUUGUAAAGCACUUUAAGUUGGGAGGAAGGGCAGUAAGUUAAUACCUUGCUGUUUUGACGUUACCGACAGAAUAAGCACCGGCUAACUUCGUGCCAGCAGCCGCGGUAAUACGAAGGGUGCAAGCGUUAAUCGGAAUUACUGGGCGUAAAGCGCGCGUAGGUGGUUUUGUAAGUUGGAGGUGAAAUCCACGGGCUCAACCUGGGAACAGCCUCGAAAAGUGCAUGACUGGAGUACGGUAGAGGGUAGUGGAAUUUCCUGUGUAGCGGUGAAAUGCGUAGAUAUAGGAAGGAACACCAGUGGCGAAGGCGACUACCUGGACUGAUACUGACACUGAGGUGCGAAAGCGUGGGGAGCAAACAGGAUUAGAAACCCUGGUAGUCC